rnacentral:rRNA from 1 species
GACGAACGCUGGCGGCGUGCUUAACACAUGCAAGUCGAACGGAAAGGCCCUGCUUUUGUGGGGUGCUCGAGUGGCGAACGGGUGCGUAACACGUGAGUAACCUGCCCUUGACUUUGGGAUAACUUCAGGAAACUGGGGCUAAUACCGGAUAGGAGCUCCUGCUGCAUGGUGGGGGUUGGAAAGUUUCGGCGGUUGGGGAUGGACUCGCGGCUUAUCAGCUUGUUGGUGGGGUAGUGGCUUACCAAGGCUUUGACGGGUAGCCGGCCUGAGAGGGUGACCGGCCACAUUGGGACUGAGAGACGGCCCAGACGCCUACGGGAGGCAGCAGUGGGGAAUAUUGCACAAUGGGCGGAAGCCUGAUGCAGCAACGCCGCGUGCGGGAUGACGGCCUUCGGGUUGUAAACCGCUUUCGCCUGUGACGAAGCGUGAGUGACGGUAAUGGGUAAAGAAGCACCGGCUAACUACGUG